rnacentral:tRNA from 11 species
GCGGGAAUGGCGAAAUUGGCAGACGCACCAGACUUAGGAUCUGGCGCCGCAAGGCGUGGAGGUUCAAGUCCUCUUUCCCGCACCA